UCCAGAGUUUGAUCAUGGCUCAGGAUGAACGCUGGCGGUAUGCUUAACACAUGCAAGUCGAACGGGGUCCUUCGGGACUUAGUGGCGGACGGGUGAGUAACGCGUGAGGAUCUGGCUUCAGGACGGGGAUAACAUUGGGAAACUGAUGCUAAUACCCGAUAUGGCGAGAGCUGAAAGAUUAAUUGCCUGAAGAUGAACUCGCGUCCGAUUAGCUAGUUGGAGUGGUAAAGGCACCCCAAGGCGAUGAUCGGUAGCUGGUCUGAGAGGAUGAUCAGCCACACUGGGACUGAGACACGGCCCAGACUGCUACGGGAGGCAGCAGUGGGGAAUUUUCCGCAAUGGGCGAAAGCCUGACGGAGCAAUACCGCGUGCGGGAGGACGGCCUUUGGGUUGUAAACCGCUUUUCUCAGGGAAGAAGAUCUGACGGUACCUGAGGAAUCAGCAUCGGCUAACUCCGUGCCAGCAGCCGCGGUAAUACGGAGGAUGCAAGCGUUAUCCGGAAUUAUUGGGCGUAAAGCGUCCGCAGGUGGUUGGUCAAGUCUGCUGUCAAAGCGUGGAGCUUAACUCCAUAAGGGCGGUGGAAACUGAUUAACUAGAGGAUGGUAGGGGUCACGGGAAUUCCCAGUGUAGCGGUGAAAUGCGUAGAUAUUGGGAAGAACACCAGCGGCGAAAGCGCGUGACUGGGCCAUUACUGACACUCAUGGACGAAAGCUAGGGGAGCGAAAGGGAUUAGAUACCCCUGUAGUCCUAGCUGUAAACGAUGGACACUAGGUGUUGCCCGUAUCGACCCGGGCAGUGCCGUAGCCAACGCGUUAAGUGUCCCGCCUGGGGAGUACGCACGCAAGUGUGAAACUCAAAGGAAUUGACGGGGGCCCGCACAAGCGGUGGAGUAUGUGGUUUAAUUCGAUGCAACGCGAAGAACCUUACCAGGGUUUGACAUCCUUCGAAUCCUUGGGAAACCGAGGAGUGCCUUCGGGAGCGAAGAGACAGGUGGUGCAUGGCUGUCGUCAGCUCGUGUCGUGAGAUGUUGGGUUAAGUCCCGCAACGAGCGCAACCCACGUUUUUAGUUGCCAGCAUUYAGUUGGGCACUCUAGAGAGACUGCCGGUGACAAACCGGAGGAAGGUGUGGAUGACGUCAAGUCAGCAUGCCCCUUACAUCCUGGGCUACACACGUACUACAAUGCUUCGGACAGAGGGUUGCGAGCGCGCGAGUGCAAGCUAAUCCCGGAAACCGAGGCACAGUUCAGAUUGCAGGCUGCAACUCGCCUGCAUGAAGGCGGAAUCGCUAGUAAUCGCCGGUCAGCAUACGGCGGUGAAUACGUUCCCGGGCCUUGUACACACCGCCCGUCACACCAUGGGAGUUGGCCACGCCCGAAGUUGUUACCCUAACCAUUCGUGGAGGGGGGCACCUAAGGCAGGGCUGAUGACUGGGGUGAAGUCGU
rnacentral:rRNA from 1 species